CCACGGGCUUGCUUCUUGAGGGGCCAUUUCUUAACCUCAUUGCAGGUCUUGCAUACUUCUUGAGCUUGGACAAUCAUCUGGAGAGUUAUUGGUAGUCCUCGGGCUCGCGCCCACUCUAGCGUAGCUGCUUUUCCUCUAUGACCCGCGGUCUCAUGGGCCCAGUCUGCCAUCCUAAGUAAUACUGGAUCAACAGGUUCUGGUGUUAUUUUUGCUUCUCGU